rnacentral:rRNA from 1 species
CAAUAGCGUAUAUUAAAGUUGUUGCAGUUAAAAAGCUCGUAGUUGGAUUUCGGGGUGGCCUGCCUGGUCCACCGCAAGGUGAGUACUGGUCAGCCGCCCUUCCUCUCGAAAGCCCCGACUGCUCUUCAUUGCAGUGGUCGGGUAGUUCGGGACGUUUACUUUGAAAAAAUUAGAGUGUUCAAGGCAGGCUAUCGCCUGAAUACAUUAGCAUGGAAUAAUGGAAGAGGACCUCGGUCCUAUUUUGUUGGUCUCUAGGGCCGAAGUAAUGAUUAAGAGGGACAGUUGGGGGCAUUCGUAUUUAAUUGUCAGAGGUGAAAUUCUUGGAUUUAUGAAAGACGAACUAGUGCGAAAGCAUUUGCCAAGGAUGUUUUCAUUAA